GACAGAGGAUGCAAGCGUUAUCCGGAAUGAUUGGGCGUAAAGCGUCUGUAGGUGGCUUUCAAGUCCGCCGUCAAAUCCCAGGGCUCAACCCUGGACAGGCGGUGGAAACUACCAAGCUGGAGUACGGUAGGGGCAGAGGGAAUUUCCGGUGGAGCGGUGAAAUGCAUUGAGAUCGGAAAGACACCAACGGCGAAAGCAGCUCGUAGCUGGGACCGACACUGCACUGAGAGACGAAAGCUAGGGAGCAAU
rnacentral:rRNA from 1 species